GGUUGUGUAGUGUAGUGGUUAUCACUCCGGAUUUUGACGUGCAAACUUCGAAACUUCCGGCAACCGCGGUUCGACUCCGCGCUCGACCU